ensembl:snRNA U6 U6 spliceosomal RNA
GUGGUCUUUGGCAACACAUACACUACAAUUGGAACAGUACAGACCAUUAACAUGGCCCCUGUGCAAGGUUAACUAUGCAAAUUCAUGAAGUAUUCUAUAUUUUU